rnacentral:lncRNA from 1 species
UAUAUAAAAAAAUCAAAUCCAAUCUUCAUUAUUACAUUUUACGUAGGACAUGAAUACAUCCAUAUUUAUUAGCUUAGUAACAAAGAAAUAAAUCAUAUCAAAUCAGAUCAAUUCACAUAUAAACCUCCCUAAUCCAAAAAAUCCGAUUUAAUUCUCGAUCUAAUGUUUACUCUAUAAAUAGGAUCUAAAAUUACAAUGAAAAUCAUCCAUAAUUUACAAAUUUACUAUCCUAAAGUUGUUGCUCUUCACAUCGAAGAACAACAACAACUAAACCCUAAUCUAAGCUUCAACCAUCUCUGCAACGAAAAAAAGAAAAGAAGGGGAGUUAGAAGGAAUUCGAGGUAGAAAGAGGAAAGAAAGAGAAAAGAGUUAAAAGAAGAGAAACUAUACCUUUGCUCAAACCAGGAAAAUCCUCAUCCCUAUAGGUUGGUCCUCUAUUCAUGUCUUGAUCUAUUGCAUGAUGCUUGGGUUUAAUUGUGUGUUUGAUGUGUGUUAGUCCCUGAACUAAGUAAUAACCUGUUUCAAAUGAAAAAAAACAUAACCAAAAUAAGUUUUUAAAUCAAUCCGUGUCCUGUUUCAACAUCAAGAAAAAUACCCCAUCCAUAACUAAAAUCUGUUUCAAAUUAAUCAAUAACUAAAAUCUGUUUCGAAUCAUAAACAUACUCUUCUUCAACUCAAAACCAUACCUUGUUUAAAAUUCAAACCACACCCAGUUUCAAUUUAAAUUAACACCCCUGUAAAAAAAAAUCUUUUUCAAAACACAAAUCAAGUUUAACACUAAUUUUUGUAGAACCAAUACACAAUUUCACAUCCAAAUAUUACCCCGGUAGAAAAAAUUUCAAAACCGAAUUGAAACUAAUAGUAUCCUUUCAACUAAAAAGAACUAUACUCUAUUUCAAUCAAAAACCAAUUUAGAGUCAAAAUAAUCCCCCCCCCCCCNCCCCCCCCCCGAGCCAAAUCAAAAAACGAAACAGAACUGAAUAAAAAAAACAAAAUCAAAACUGACACGAGCUUCACAAUUGCAUCGUCGGCUUCCGUAGAUACCUCAUCCACAUCUGCACACCCCUAUCCCUCAUGAGUCUGCCGACCCUCCAUCAUGCUACCAUGAUUGCGCCGCUUCGUCACGAUUACGCCGACCAUCGCUCUGCCGUGAACACCACCCUUUCUAGCCUCUUUCAAUUUUGUGAGUGCUCGCCUUGUGGAUUUGAGCUCAUUGUUGUUUGGAUUUGUGUUGUUGAGAUUGAUCCAAGUGAAGUGUUAUAUUCAUUUUUGUAAGUGCAACUUUCCGAUAGAUGUAUUUUGUAUGAUGUCAAAACUAGGAUACUUUAGCAUUUAUGUAUAUUGGAUGUAUCCUCUAAGUCUAAAUGUGCAUCUUAGUAUCAGGAAACAUAACAACAUGUUAGAAAAGGUUUAAGAAAGGUUUCGUGCAUCAAAAACUGGUUUUUAUGUGAAAAACAGUCUAUGUGUCGACACAUCGUGCUAUAGGUCGACAAAUAGAAGAUUUUUUUUCUACAGGUCGACAUAUACGAGCUUCAGGUCGACACAUGUAACUCAUAUUUAAAGCCUACAACUUCUUUUUUGUGUGCCGCCUCUACAUGUCGACAUAUGCAUCGUAUGUGCCGACACAUGACUUACAUGGUGUCUUAUAACAAAAAUAAAAAUCCUUUUGACAAUCACCUUAAUAAAAAUAACAUAAAUAAAAAUAUCAUUUAAUGAAUAAUUUACAUUUUCUUCAGAUGCAAAUGUAACUUUAUAUUCAUCCAUGGUGUCUUUUAUAUUAAAAAAGUAUAAAAAACACUUGAGAAAAAUAGAGAUAUUAGAAGGAAAAAAAAUCACAAAAUAGUAAAAAUUUAGCAAGAUCAAUAACACACAAAUUCUGUCAUCAUCCUUUUGGUUACUUCUAUGACCAAUAAACUUAAAAAACUUUAGAGAGGUUCAAGAAAAAUAAUAUAAGAAUUAGAGUAAAUAUUUUAAUGUCAUAAAAUUCUCAGUAUAAAAAAUAUCAGUAACAUUAAAACCAAAACUUAAAUUCAAAACCCUAUUCAAGUCAAAUAAUAACACACAACUCAUUAUAAACUUCAUUCUCUUCCUAAAUACAUAUAGAAUUUCAUUAUAUAACAAAAAGAAAAACAUAAGAAGAAAAUGUUACCUUUUGGAAAUGUUAAUUUUUGGGUAUGCCUUCGUUCGAUCUGGGUAGAUCUAUAACCUGCAAAUAUAAAAGAAGUGGAAAAAGAUAUUAAAAAUAAGGCGAUGUUGAUUCAACAGAUCUGGAAGUGGAUAUGGAAAAUGAUGCAAAUCCGAGCAUUUUGAUUUCCGUUGAAGAGAGAAGGAUGUGAAAUGAUGCAGAUCUGAAAAAAAUGAAAGAACCUGAGGAAAAGUUUAAAUUUUUAAUAAAAUAUGAAAGAUUAGAGAGAUGGAGAAAUUAUGACACUUGGAUUCUUGGCAUUUAUUCUUGCAGUUGAAUCAACAAAUUUGGAAGCAGAUUUUUUUGAAGAAGUCAAAUCUGAAAGAUGAAGUGAGUGUUUUCACGACUUCUAAUGUUGUGAGAAAGAGAGAGGCAUGUUUGAGUGAUGAUAGGGGGAUGAAGCAUAAUAUCUGAGACAAAAGUGUUGUUUGUGUUAUGGUGAAUCAAAAUCUCCUUUUUAAUAGGGGAGAAAGGGUGAUGGCGGCGACUACAGAGGUUUUAAGGUUUGAGGGGGAAAAUGAGAAAAGAAAGAAGACGAAAGAGAGAGAAAAUUGUAAUGUGUGAGAAAUGAUUAAACACAAUGUAUCAGAGGCUUAUGUAUUUGUUUUGGAAUGUAAAGAGUUUUACUGGGAAGAAGAUGAAAAUAAAUAGAGUGUGAAAAGAAGAAAAAAAGGUGUUGUCUUAAGAUACGAAUGGGGUGAGUAAACAAAAAUGUUCAGCAAUUCCGAAUACAAAUAUUCCGUUAAAUAAUGAAUAUUACUGUUGUAUAAUGAAAUCAAUACAGUAAAUAAUAACGAAAGAAUUAGAGAAUUAUAACAAAAAAUGAAACAAUAAUUAAAUAGGAUAUUAAGAUGAAAUGACCAUAAGAAUAUGCAAAGAACAUUUUAAUUAAUUAUUAGCGGGAUAAAUUAGUAAAUUUGGUAGUAGUUUAUUUUCUAAAGUAGAUUAUAAUUUUUUUUCCACACAACUUGGGUAAUGCAACAACAUAUGAAGUCCAAAUUUUAGCUCAAACCAAUAAGGGUUAUUAGUUUUAGGCUUAAUGCAUCGUUUAGUCCCUUAACUUAAUAAGAAGUUUCGUUUUGAUCCCCUAACUAAAAAAUGUUACAUAGUGGCCCAUUAACUUCACUUCCGCUAAACUAUUUGAUCCUUUCAGUUAGUUUCAAUUGGAAAAAUGUUAAAAGAUAUCGUAUUGGACUAUUUACAUCUGAUGUGGAAUUUAUUUAUUUUAAUAUUGAUGUAAGAGGGGAGCCGACUCUCUUCCCUAUUCUUCACGUGUUACUCUACCCUCUCUCAUAAAAACCAACGCCUUCUUCUAUCCGUUUCCUGCCAGGUGCUCAACAACACCCCCCACCUCAACUAACUCCAUUUUUAUCUUUCUUCUUCCACUCACCUGAUAUAACUACUAAACACCACUGAUCCACUAAAAAACUCCAUCCAACAUAUUACCACCCUUGCUUCUUCUUUUCACAAAAAUCAUCUUCAUACGAAAUCCAACCACCAUUGUACCACUUUAUCACCUUACAACGCUAUACCACAAUCCAGCCACCACCAUCCCACAUACGAAAUCCGGCCAUCACUUUGUCACCUUACAACACCUGCCUCAUCGUCAGUGGCAUUCCGGCCACCACUAUCCCACAUACGAAAUCCUCCCUCCACCAUAGUUUCAACC